rnacentral:lncRNA from 1 species
GCCAUGGCAACCGCCUGUGAUGCCAGGAUCCGGGCCAGGAGCAGGGCUGCAAGAAGGAAAGGACAGCACCACCACCGCCACCAGGCAGCAGCCAGCAGGGAAAGGCGUGGCGUCAAGCUGCUGCCCGUUCGACACGUCCUCCCUCCUGGCCUCACCGGCUCUCGCCGGGGCUGAAAAUCGCCGUGCUGGAAGCGGAGGCUUUCCUCGAGCCUACCGACGGUACGGCGGCCGCCUUCCCGGGAGAGCAGCCGCGUGCUCGGGCUGACACCUAGCGGCGGGGCCCGCUCUCUCCCUCCGGCGGUGGCGGCGUGGAAAUCUCUAUUCCGUUGGCUUUGGGCCUCUUGACGGCGCGCUGGGCUCACCAACACGUGGAAAAAGCUUCCCCGGGGCCAAAGCUUUCACCAGCUCGUCUCCUUGGUGUCCCGUGGGUGGAGGCGGCCGUCGUGGGAUGGUGACCAAACCUCGCUGAGGGGUGGCUGCGUCAGAGAGACCUGAGCCGUGCAGGAUUAAGGCAGGCCGAUGAAAGCCACUCCCGAAUCCCAGCCGGCAGCGCUGGAAAUAGCCCAGGGUAAAUUCUCCGAAGGUGAUUCACCAGGCAGUCUGAUAAGACACUGGAACCCAUCGUGCUGCAAGACAAGCCUUUAGUCUGCCUUCCAGUAACACCUUCAACCUCCAGGAACCAACACCCAGGACUGAAGCUAUCAAAAAUGCAAAGCCAAAAUGACUGUAGUGAAGUGACACAUGGCAAAAGCAAUGGCAGCUGGGGGCAGCAACUUGCUUGGCAGCAGAGGCAACUGGGCACAGAUCAGCCUUUGGAGACAGAAGUAUGACUCCCACCAGGCUGGCUUCAAUAGCUACUGUCAGAAUAAUGGCCCUUUUCCUUCUUUUGGCAUGCUGACAUCCAAACUCCCAUGGCUUUUAAGUGCUGAUGUCAGAAGUUGUAGCUGAACUCUGUGUAACCUCCAGGCUAUAAAGGAUGCCAAAUGAAAUGCACACACACACACACACAUAUGUAUAUAUUUAUGCUAGUCCUGGAUAGUCUCCUUUGUAUCUGUAGUAAGCCCAACCCAACGCUCUCUCUUUUGCACCCAAUGUAGAAGGG